GACGAACGCUGGCGGCGUGCCUAAUACAUGCAAGUCGAACGCAGUGGGGACGGGUGAGUAACACGUGGGUAACCUCCCAUCAGAGGGGAUAACACUUGGAAACAGGUGCUAAACCGAUACUGAUGGAUGGACUCGCGGUGCAUUAGCUAGUUGGUGAGGUAACGGCUAACCAAGGCCACGACGCCUAGCCGGUCUGAGAGGGUUAUCGGCCACACUGGGACUGAUACACGGCCCAGACUCCUACGGGAGGCAGCAGUAGGGAAUCUUCGGCAAUGGACGAAAGUCUGACCGAGCAACGCCGCGUGAGUGAAGAAGGUUUUCGGAUCGUAAAGCUCUGUUGUUAGAGAAGCGGUAUCUGACCAAAAAGCCACGGCUAACUACGUGCCAGCAGCCGCGGUAAUUC
rnacentral:rRNA from 1 species